UACGAAGGGUGCAAGCGUUACUCGGAAUUACUGGGGGUAAAGCGUGCGUAGGUGGUGAGUUAAGUCUGAUGUGAAAUCCCCGGGCUCAACCUGGGAAUGGCAUUGGAUACUGGCUCGCUAGAGUGCGGUAGAGGGUGGUGGAAUUCCCGGUGUAGCAGUGAAAUGCGUAGAGAUCGGGAGGAACACCAGUGGCGAAGGCGGCUACCUGGACCAGCACUGACACUGAGGCACGAAAGCGUGGGGAGCAAACAGG
rnacentral:rRNA from 1 species